AACGAACGCUGGCGGCAGGCUUAACACAUGCAAGUCGAGCGAGACCUUCGGGUCUAGCGGCGGACGGGUGAGUAACGCGUGGUAACGUGCCCUUCUCUACGGAAUAGCCCCGGGAAACUGGGAGUAAUACCGUAUACGCCCUUUGGGGGAAAGAUUUGUCGGUGAAGGAUCGGCCCGCGUUGGAUUAGGUAGUUGGUGGGGUAAUGGCCCACCAAGCCGACGAUCCAUAGCUGGUUUGAGAGGAUGAUCAGCCACACUGGGACUGAGACACGGCCCAGACUCCUACGGGAGGCAGCAGUGGGGAAUCUUAGACAAUGGGGGCAACCCUGAUCGAGCCAUGCCGCGUGAGUGAUGAAGGCCUUAGGGUUGUAAAGCUCUUUCAGCUGGGAAGAUAAUGACGGUACCAGCAGAAGAAGCCCCGGCUAACUCCGUG
rnacentral:rRNA from 1 species